AUUAAACCACAGAAAUAAAACAUACUAUUUUGCUAAAAAUGAUUUGCUGAAGUGUGCGAUGUGUUGCAUACAUAUUUAUAAACAAUUCCUUUAAAUUUAAUUCUUCAAUUUUUAACAUACAGAAAGUGAUUAAACAAAUUGUUCACAAAAGUGAAUUUCGAUCACUCGAAGCAAUGGUGCUAACAGUUUCGAACUCACAGUGACUGAUGGGGAGGAAGAACUAGUAAUACGUAACAAAUAAAACCUUCUGUACAGUAUGCCUGUUAGAGGGAAAUUCCUUACAAGCUAUGGGUCAUAAGAAAACUUGAACAGCACUUUAGUCUUAUAAAGAAAGUUUUUCAAACUAUUCCUCUAUGCAGUUUUCGUUGUGUAUU
rnacentral:lncRNA from 1 species